CAGUUAUCCUAGCCCACUGUGUACCAGACAGUUAUCCUAGCCCACUGUGUACCAGACAGUUAUCCUAACCCACUGUGUACCAGACAGGAAAGACAGUUAUCCUAACCCACUGUGUACCAGACAGGUAUCCUAACCCACUGUGUACCAGACAGAAAAGACAGGUAUCCUAACCCACUGUGUACCAGACAGAAAAGACAGUUAUCCUAACCCACUGUGUACCAGACAGGUAUCCUAACCUACUGUGUACCAGACAGUUAUCCUAACCCACUGUGUACCAGACAGGAAAGGCAGGUAUCCUAACCCACUGUGUACCAGACAGGAAAGACAGUUAUCCUAACCCACUGUGUACCAGACAGUUAUCCUAACCUACUGUGUACCAGACAGUUAUCCUAACCCGCUGUGUACCAGACAGGUAUCCUAACUCACUGUGUACCAGACAGAAAAGACAGGUAUCCUAACCCACUGUGUACCAGACAGAAAAGACAGUUAUCCUAACCCACUGUGUACCAGACAGGAAAGACAGUUAUCCUAACCCACUGUGUACCAGACAGGUAUCCUAACCUACUGUGUACCAGACAGGAAAGACAGUUAUCCUAACCCACUGUGUACCAGACAGUUAUCCUAACCCACUGUGUACCAGACAGUUAUCCUAACCCACUGUGUACCAGACAGGAAAGACAGUUAUCCUACCCCACUGUGUACCAGACAGGAAAGGCAGUUAUCCUAACCCACUGUGUACCAGACAGGUAUCCUAACCCACUGUGUACCAGACAGGUAUCCUAACCUACUGUGUACCAGACAGGUAUCCUAACCAACUGUGUACCAGACAGGUAUCCUAACCCACUGUGUACCAGACAGGAAAGACAGUUAUCCUAACCCACUGUGUACCAGACAGGAAAGACAGUUAUCCUAACCCACUGUGUACCAGACAGUUAUCCUAACCCACUGUGUACCAGACAGGAAAGACAGUUAUCCUAACCCACUGUGUACCAGACAGGAAAGACAGUUAUCCUAACCCACUGUGUACCAGACAGUUAUCCUAACCCACUGUGUACCAGACAGUUAUCCUAACCCACUGUGUACCAGACAGGAAAGACAGUUAUCCUAACCCACUGUGUACCAGACAGGAAAGACAGUUAUCCUAACCCACUGUGUACCAGACAGUUAUCCUAACCCACUGUGUACCAGACAGUUAUCCUAACCCACUGUGUACCAGACAGGUAUCCUAACCUACUGUGUACCAGACAGUUAUCCUAACCCACUGUGUACCAGACAGGUAUCCUAACCUACUGUGUACCAGACAGAAAAGACAGUUAUCCUAACCCACUGUGUACCAGACAGAAAAGACAGUUAUCCUAACCCACUGUGUACCAGACAGAAAAGACAGUUAUCCUAGCCCACUGUGUACCAGACAGAAAAGACAGUUAUCCUAGCCCACUGUGUACCAGACAGGAAAGACAGUUAUCCUAACCCACUGUGUACCAGACAGUUAUCCUAACCCACUGUGUACCAGACAGAAAAGACAGUUAUCCUAACCCACUGUGUACCAGACAGGAAAGACAGUUAUCCUAACCCACUGUGUACCAGACAGUUAUCCUAACCCACUGUGUACCAGACAGGUAUCCUAACCCACUGUGUACCAGACAGGUAUCCUAACCCACUGUGUACCAGACAGAAAAGACAGUUAUCCUAACCCACUGUGUACCAGACAGUUAUCCUAACCCACUGUGUACCAGACAGGUAUCCUAACACACUGUGUACCAGACAGAAAAGACAGUUAUCCUAACCCACUGUGUACCAGACAGUUAUCCUAACCUACUGUGUACCAGACAGUUAUCCUAACCCACUGUGUACCAGACAGUUAUCCUAACCCACUGUGUACCAGACAGGAAAGACAGGUAUCCUAACCCACUGUGUACCAGAUACAGUAAGAGUAAGAUUUUCCGAGUAGAUCAUUUGCCCAUUUGUUAAAGCUGUUGUCAUAGCAAAAAUCAAACCUUUAUAAAGUGUACUUGCUAUAAGACACAGUGAAAUUUUAACUUCAAUUAUAAAAAUUAAAACAAGAAAAAUGUUCCCUUUUUAACAUGUGACCUACCAUAUAGAUAUUGCCCAUAUCAGUAUGUGCAUCACUGGCCUACCAAGUGUAAGCCUCCUCCCUCCAACAACACAUGCUCAAAGUGUGCUUUAGAAAACCUGAUGUGCGAGAGGUAUAUAUGGUACCCUGGCAAUGUUGUACGAAUAUCUCAUGCAUGAAUGAUUUAUAGACAUGCACCAGCGAGUCUGGCCAUAUCAUGUAUGUUUUCUAUGGAAGUGAAAUGCUUUUGAUCAAGUUGAAGACAUAUUAGUAUAUUGAUUUAUCUAAAUAAGGCAGCUACCUAAUCUUUUGAGGAUAUAUUUUGUGUGUAUAUGUGUAAGAUUACAUGCAGAAGAAAUACUUAUGUGUAAAUGUGAGAAUGAGACACGAUUUGUGGUAGUCUAUUUUUAUGAGACGUAUGCUGACUAGAUUAUAUGUUGUAGUCUAUUUUUAUGAGAGAGACAGAUACUGGCUGCACUUGGUAUGCGAAUUUGUGUAAAUAUUGAAAUGAAUAAAAGUAAUUAUGUACAUUGAGACUAUGUAAGAAGUGAGUAUUACAUUGAUUUGUGGAUAUAUUAUGAUGUUACUGGUUAUUUUUGUGAUUAAGAUUGUAGAGAGAAAAAAAUAGUUUUUUAAAAUCGAUGAUUAUGUGUGCUGGAUGCUUUAAGUAAAACACCAUCUUGUAUUGUAGCAAAAUAGCAAAAUGUUUAAAAACAUUAUUUCAUGGGGCAUUUCAAAGUUUGUAUAAGGCAAUUCACUACAUUACAUUACUGAGAAAUGCAAGCACUCGUCUGGAUGGAUGUUUUGAUAAGGAUCGUACGGAUGACAAUUAUUUCUGAUAAAUGCUGUGCUGCUCGAGCCUAGAACUGUCCACAUGUAGUUCUGACACAAAGAUAGGAUACAUUUGUCAUAUUAUUUUACAACGAAUAGUUUUGGUCUUUCCUAAUGUAUUCUACUUACUUUACUAACCAUUGCUAGUAUUGUUUGUUAUGAAAGUCUUUUUUUAAUACUUCGUUGUUUACAUCUGUUGUUGUGAGAGGUACCAGAGCUAUAGUGUGUGUAUCAUGAGAGUUGUCAUUCCACCUGUUGUCUACACUUUACUCUACGUAGUUUGUUUUAUUUACUUCCAAAAUAGAAAUUGUUUAUGUUUUAAACAAAUGGAAAUUAAAAUACAUUUUGUACUUGUGUUUAUUAAGGUCAGAUCCAAAAGGAUUGCAGCCAGAAUCGAGACUUAUCAAUGUAUAUCUAAUCUGAAGUAUAAGUAUCGUAUCUAAAUUGAAUGUUAAUUUCGGCUUUUCUCAUGUUUCUUCCCAGUUUUUCUGUUGUUUAUAUAUGUAAGGUUUUGAUAUUUUAUAGUAUAUGUAGCAGAUGACAAAUGAUCAUCACAUCUUUUGAAAACUUUUCACCGUUUAAGAUUUAUAUGAUUAAUUGAACGUGAUACCAUAUGUUCAGUGUGAAGAUGUCUUUCCUCUUGAAAACAAAACAUAUUUUUUUAUGUGAACUUUGGGAAUAAUGGUCUCAUGACCUGGUCUAAGUUUUUAUUUCUCCAAAUGUGGGUUCUUUACAGAAAAAUCUUGUUACAUUAAUCAACAAGUCUAAAACUGAAAGAUAUAAAAUGUAUUUUCCCCUUAAACAUGUCUAUUUGAGGGUUCUUUUACAGUCAGAAGUUUGAGGUUUUUUUUUUUUUCAAUGAACCAUAUGAAAAUUUGCAUUUCUUGAACUAAUGUUAUGACUCAGCUAUCUGCUAGUUAUUUAAUUGGAAAAUAUAUUUUCUCAUUAUAUUAUUGGAAGUGAAAUUUGUUCCCUCUCUGGGGAAAACACUCACACAAAAGACAACUGGAGUGAUUGAUGGUAUAUAGAUUUUGUAAUGUCUGUGUAUGUAUUCAUAUUCAAUGUAUAUUUCAAAGUUAAAUCAGGGACAUGCUCACUCUGCUUCUUGUGCAAUACCUGGGUGGUAUAUUUGUAUGAAAAAAUGUACAAAUGGUAAGUUUUAUCCAGAUUUUUUAUAUAAUAUAUAUCUAUAUCUAUAUGAAUAUAUCAAAGGACUGCAGUAAGAUGUUAUAGAUUGUGUAUUGUGAUGUUAGAGAGAGUUUAUACAAGGUAGUUGUAUAUGGUCAGAGAAUAAAUGGUCAACAAAGUA